CCUGAUGCAGCCAUGCCGCGUGUGUGAAGAAGGCCUUAGGGUUGUAAAGCACUUUCAGUAAGGAGGAAAGGUUAGUAGUUAAUACCUGCUAGCUGUGACGUUACUUACAGAAGAAGCACCGGCUAACUCCGUGCCAGCAGCCGCGGUAAUACGGAGGGUGCGAGCGUUAAUCGGAAUUACUGGGCGUAAAGCGUACGCAGGCGGUUUGUUAAGCGAGAUGUGAAAGCCCCGGGCUCAACCUGGGAACUGCAUUUCGAACUGGCAAACUAGAGUGUGAUAGAGGGUGGUAGAAUUUCAGGUGUAGCGGUGAAAUGCGUAGAGAUCUGAAGGAAUACCGAUGGCGAAGGCAGCCACCUGGGUCAACACUGACGCUCAUGUACGAAAGCGUGGGGAGCAAACAGGAUUAGAUACCCUGGUAGUCCACGCCGUAAACGAUGUCUACUAGGAGCUGGGGUCUUCGGACAACUUUUCCAAAGCUAACGCAUUAAGUAGACCGCCUGGGGAGUACGGCCGCAAGGUUAAAACUCAAAUGAAUUGACGGGGGCCCGCACAAGCGGUGGAGCAUGUGGUUUAAUUCGAUGCAACGCGAAGAACCUUACCUACACUUGACAUACAGAGAACUUACCAGAGAUGGUUUGGUGCCUUCGGGAACUCUGAUACA
rnacentral:rRNA from 1 species